rnacentral:lncRNA from 2 species
CUCUAUAAGAGAUCCAUGUCAGCAUAUUUUCCUACUUGGAAGAUAUUAAAUGAAGAGAGAUAGCAAAGUUAUCUACUAACUUAGAGAUAGUCUAUAGAGAAAAACGAGGCAAUGCAUGAGAGAGCUAUAGAUACCCAUGUAGAUAUACUAUUGAUGUGGUUUACUAUUAAUCUAGUCUAUUGCUGAGAUGUACAUGUUUUAUAGAGAACACCUUACUUUACCAUUGCGGGUGCUCUUAGUGGUUUUAAUCAGUACUCAACCUACAUGGAUGCAUGCAGGAAGAGUGGCAUGGUGAUCACCAAGAAAGUACUUGUCCAGAUAUUCUUCUCCUCCAUUUUUGGCGCGACGCUGAACCAGGUGCUCUACUUCGUGGGGCUCAAGUCCACGACGCCGACGGUGGCGUGCGCGCUCAGCAACACGCUCCCGGCGCUGACGUUCGCGAUGGCGGCGGCGUUCCGGAUGGAGUCGGUGCGGCUGAGUGCGGCCGCCGGGCAGGCCAAGGUGUUUGGCACGGUGGUCUGCGUCGGCGGCUCCAUGAUCAUGCCGUUCUACAAGGGCCCGCUCCUCAGGCUCUGGGCGUCGCCCAUCCACUGGCGGUUCGCGGAGAGCGCCGCGUCGGGCGCGGCGGCGCCAGCCGCGGGCGGCGCCGCCGUCCUCGGCGACGUCCUCAUCAUCCUCAGCUGCGCCGCGUGGGCCGUGUGGUUCAUCAUACAGACCAAGAUGUCGGAGCGGUUCUCGGCGCCGUACACGAGCACGACCAUCAUGUGCUUGAUGGCCGGCGUGCAGUGCGCCGGCGUCAGCGCCGCCAUGGACAGGAGCGUCGCCGUGUGGAAGCUCGGCUUCGACAUCCGCCUCUACUCCGUGCUCUACAUCGGCGUGGUCGGGUCGGGGAUCGCGUUCGCGCUCAUGUCGUGGUGCAUCCAGGUGCGCGGCCCGCUGUUCGUGUCCAUGUUCAGCCCGCUGAUGCUGGUGGUCGUGGCCAUUGUCGGCUGGGCGAUCCUCGACGAGAAGAUACACGUCGGCAGCGCGAUCGGGUCCGUGCUGAUCGUCGCCGGGCUGUACAUGGUGCUGUGGGGGAAGGCGAGGGAGAUGGGCUCGCCAUCGGACCUCGACGGCGGCGGCGGCGUGGUGGAGCUGAACGGCAAGGGCGCCGACGCCGCGACGACCUUGCCGGUGUUCUGCACCACCACCAACAAGCACGAGACGACCCGGAACGGCUGCAGCAACUGAAGCUGAUGGCGCACCGGGGCAUAUGGAUGGCAGAUCACCUGAUUAUAUAUGUGCUAGCUGCACAUUUCACAGGCUGUUGCAUGUGUGACAACUACAUCUUGCUGGGGAUAUCAAUUGGUGCGGUAGUAUAUAGAUGUGGGAGUUUGCUAGUAGUAGCUAGGUAAAAGUUGGGGGAGGUGUGUGAGACUGUACCUGUGCCUUGGUUCUUGACAUUAAAAAUGGAUUGUGCACUUGUGCAGCUGCUCUGUU